rnacentral:rRNA from 1 species
GAACCGCGUGAAGGAUCAUUAUUGAGAGGGGCUUUCGGGCUCCGGGGGCUUCGGCCCCCUACUCAUCACCCCAUGUUUACGUACCUUUGUUGCUUUGACGGGCCGUAGGGCUCGCCCUAUGCUGGCCUCGGGCUUCCCCGUCUGGGUCGGCCCGUGCCCGUCAGAGGCCCAUCAAACUCCGUUUUAUCAGUGUCGUCCGAGUUCAAACCACAAUAGUAAAAACUUUCAACAACGGAUCUCUUGGUUCUGGCAUCGAUGAAGAACGCAGCGAAAUGCGAUAAGUAAUGUGAAUUGCAGAAUUCAGUGAAUCAUCGAAUCUUUGAACGCACAUUGCGCCCCUCGGCAUUCCGGGGGGCAUGCCUGUUCGAGCGUCAUUGCACCCCUCAAGCUCAGCUUGGUAUUGGGUCCUCGCCUCUCGGGGCGGGCCCGAAAUUCAGUGGCGGUCCGGAGCGACUUCGAGCGUAGUAAAUUUCUCCCGCUUUGGAAGUCCGCGUCGUGGCCUGCCAUCACAGCCCCAAACCUUUCAAUGAUUGACCUCGGAUCAGGUAGGGAUACCCGCUGAACUUAA